AACGAACGCUGGCGGCAUGCCUAACACAUGCAAGUCGAACGAGACCUUCGGGUCUAGUGGCGCACGGGUGCGUAACGCGUGGGAACCUGCCCUUAGGUUCGGAAUAACUCCCCGAAAGGGGUGCUAAUACCGGAUAAUGUCUUCGGACCCAAGAUUUAUCGCCUUUGGAUGGGCCCGCGUUGGAUUAGCUAGUUGGUAGGGUAAAAGCCUACCAAGGCGACGAUCCAUAGCUGGUCUGAGAGGAUGAUCAGCCACACUGGGACUGAGACACGGCCCAGACUCCUACGGGAGGGAGGAGUGGGGAAUAUUGGACAAUGGGCGAAAGCCUGAUCCAGCAAUGCCGGGUGAGUGAUGAAGGCCUUAGGGUUGUAAAGCACUUUUACCCGGGAUGAUAAUGACAGUACCGGGAGAAUAAGCUCCGGCUAACUCCGUG
rnacentral:rRNA from 1 species